rnacentral:rRNA from 1 species
UACACUCCUGGGGAGGCAGCAGUGGGGAAUUUUGGACAAUGGGCGAAAGCCUGAUCCAGCAAUGCCGCGUGAGUGAAGAAGGCCUUCGGGUUGUAAAGCUCUUUUGUCAGGGAAGAAACGGUGAAAGCUAAUAUCUUUUGCUAAUGACGGUACCUGAAGAAUAAGCACCGGCUAACUACGUGCCAGCAGCCGCGGUAAUACGUAGGGUGCAAGCGUUAAUCGGAAUUACUGGGCGUAAAGCGUGCGCAGGCGGUUUUGUAAGUCUGAUGUGAAAUCCCCGGGCUCAACCUGGGAAUUGCAUUGGAGACUGCAAGGCUAGAAUCUGGCAGAGGGGGGUAGAAUUCCACGUGUAGCAGUGAAAUGCGUAGAUAUGUGGAGGAACACCGAUGGCGAAGGCAGCCCCCUGGGUCAAGAUUGACGCUCAUGCACGAAAGCGUGGGGAGCAAACAGGAUUAGAAACCCCGGUAGUCCC